AACGUAGGACGCGAGCGUUAUCCGGAGUUACUGGGCGUAAAGCGCGGGCAGGCGGUCUGACAAGUCUGAUGUGAAAUCUCCGGGCUUAACCGGGAGAGGCCAUUGGAAACUGACAGGCUGGAGGGCAGUAGAGGUAGGCGGAAUUCCGGGUGGAGUGGUGAAAUGCGUAGAGAUCCGGCGGAACACCAGAGGCGAAGGCGGCCUACUGGGCUGCACCUGACGCUGAGCCGCGAAAGCCAGGGGAGCGAACGGG
rnacentral:rRNA from 1 species